GAAUUUUUUGUCUCUCUGAAGUGAGGGCUUAAGGAAUAAUGAAAACUUCUGCUCAUACUUCUCAUGAAUGCUUUUAUUUUCAAGGUCAACCAAAUGUUUUUUCAGGAAAGACUAAUGCACUUUUCUUCAAGCAAUAUACCGUAAAAUGUUUCUCCAAGAUUAUCCUGUCUCUGAGCAGAAGACAACUGGGUCUAGAUGUUUUUAUUUUCUCCUUGCUGUUGCAAAAUUAGGUUUGAGUGACUCUGGGCCCGUCAUAAUGGAUUGUUCUCUCAUGAGGAACUCAGAGCUCAACUUCUCUUGAACUGUGAGCUCCUUGCAUCAGGGUCCAGGAGUUGCUCAUCUGCAUACCCUCGGCAUACAGUAGAAUAAUGGUAUGGUGUUUCUAUUUACAAGAAGAAACCUUAUCUUUUAGAGAUCCAUGCUGAAAUGUUUAUGAAUGAAAAGGAGUUUCUGGAGAGAAGGACACUUCCGGCCCCUGUCCUGAGAGCCCGGGACCGUGCUGACUACACUAUGGACAGCUGUUGGUCAGCAGAGGCCCCAUUAUGCUGGAUCAACAAACGACUCCAAGACCUUGUGACCUAACACGACAACUUCGUUUCUUACUAAGAGGACUCUCGUGCAAUGGCUCAGGCACAGAGGUGCCAUCCGGCCAUGUGCCACCAUGAUUAUGGACAUGUGGAAAAGGGAACGUGCUAAGCACUUGUCUUCGUUCUACGGGAAAUGUGAGUUCAACUCGGCGCCCUCAGACAAGAGGCCCUCGGCUCUCUUUCUCCUCCAGUGCAGUGUGUUUCAAAAUAAGAAAACAACCCUUCAGGCCGACCAUCGUCAUCUGUCAGCUUGAUACAGCUGUCAAUCAAUGUCACUAACUGGAAGAAAUGCUCGCUAUUCUAAGACCACCACCACCACCGUGUCUGCUUGUUACUGUGUAGACCAUUAUGAAGGCUAG
rnacentral:lncRNA from 1 species